rnacentral:rRNA from 1 species
UACGUAGGGGGCUAGCGUUGUCCGGAAUCAUUGGGCGUAAAGCGCGUGUAGGCGGCCCGGUAAGUCCGCUGUGAAAGUCGGGGGCUCAACCCUCGGAUGCCGGUGGAUACUGUCGGGCUCGAGUACGGAAGAGGCGAGUGGAAUUCCUGGUGUAGCGGUGGAAUGCGCAGAUAUCAGGAGGAACACCAAUAGCGAAGGCAGCUCGCUGGGACGGUACUGACGCUAAGGCGCGAAAGCGUGGGGAGCAAACAGG